rnacentral:rRNA from 1 species
AGAUGGGAUUAGCUAGUAGGUGGGGUAACGGCUCACCUAGGCGACGAUCCCUAGCUGGUCUGAGAGGAUGACCAGCCACACUGGAACUGAGACACGGUCCAGACUCCUACGGGAGGCAGCAUG